rnacentral:RNase_P_RNA from 2 species
GGAGUCAGCCAGACAGCCGCCCCGCCACUAAAUCGACCCUUGCCGGUACGCUGAUUUCCGCAGACCGGCGAGUUUUAAAGUUCAAUUACUCGGUGUUUCGGGGCCGAUUUAGUGGCGGGGAGGAAAGUCCGGGCUCCAUAGGGCAAGGUGCCAGGUAACGCCUGGGAGGCGCGAGCCUACGGAAAGUGCCACAGAAAAUACACCGCCGAUGGCCGGGCAACCGGAUCAGGUAAGGGUGAAAUGGUGCGGUAAGAGCGCACCGCGCGGGUGGCAACACCCGUGGCACGGCAAACCCCACCUGGAGCAAGGCCAAAUAGGGGAACGAUGGUGCGGCCCGCACCGUUCCCGGGUAGGCCGCUUGAGGCGCGCGGCGACGUGCGUCCUAGAUGAAUGGCUGUCCACGACAGAACCCGGCUUAACGGCUGACUCCAUUU